UUCAUCCUGCCAUAUCACCCUGCACCCCAAAUACGGUUACCUACUGAAGCUAAGCAGGGCUGAGCCUGGUCAGUACCUGGAUGGAAGACCAUAUGGGAAAACUAGGUUACUGUUGAAA
ensembl:rRNA 5S_rRNA 5S ribosomal RNA